UGGAAAGUUCAUUGUUCGACACCAUGGAUCUCCAGGUGGGUCACGUUUAGAUAUACACCAACCUGGAGGACUCCAUGCUGUUGAGCUGUUCACGA
rnacentral:pre_miRNA from 1 species